CAGCCGCCGCGGUAAUACGUAGGUGGCAAGCGUUGUCCGGAAUUAUUGGGCGUAAAGCGCGCGCAGGCGGUUUCUUAAGUCUGAUGUGAAAGCCCCCGGCUUAACCGGGGAGGGUCAUUGGAAACUGGGAAACUUGAGUGCAGAAGAGGAGAGUGGAAUUCCAUGUGUAGCGGUGAAAUGCGUAGAUAUAUGGAGGAACACCGGUGGCGAAAGCGGCUCUCUGGCUUGUAACUGACGCUGAGGCUCGAAAGCGUGGGGAGCAAACAGGAUCAGAUACCCCAGUAGUCCCUGUCUCUUAUAC
rnacentral:rRNA from 1 species